rnacentral:tRNA from 1 species
UUAAAGAAAUAAAAAUCAAGGAAAAGCUUCUAACUUUAACCUUUAGCAGUGAAAUUCUGUUAGUAUUUCU